UACUUUUAGCUACUUUUUUUUUUUUUUUCUUAAUCAGUCACCUUCAUGUGCCUUUUCCCUUUGUCUUUUCCUAGAAAUUCCAGGACCAAAGAUCUGGCCCUGGGGCUUUUCCUCUUGCUGUGUGCUCGCCCGUGUGCACACACGUACUGGGCGUCAGCGCGGCUCACACUGGAGCACAGUGGCCCCCAGUGGAAUUAGGGCGGCUGGUCUUACACUUACUGAAACCAUUUCCUUCCCUUGUGGGUGACGUGAAUGUAUGCCUCGCGGGGCCAGCACUUAAAAGCCCUUGAAAUGCCAACGCUUGGCCACUUGUUGGGCGGGCAAGUGUGACAAAUCCUACCUUGAUGCUUGGACUUCAUUCUCCAACAGUCUUUUAACCCAGGCACUUCAGAUACACCACGCUGCUGCAAAAUAUUCCUUAUUUCUUACGGGAUUUUGUUUUCGAUGGUAUUGAGGAAGGAAAACGGCUCACUUCUCUGGGUGACCUCCUUUGGGUCAGGAGAGAUAGAGUCUCCAGAUUUCAGAGUCGGAAGGUCUGAUCCCGGCUUUCCUUUCCCAGUGUGUAGGGAUCGGCUGGGAAAUGGGGGUGAUGCCACCUGUCCUGCCUUCCCCACUGGGUCUUCCAGAGGCUGAACGAGCGAUGUAUCUGAAAGAGCUUUGAAAGUUGUGAAGCGCUGAACAAAUAGAAGUGGUCAUGAAUUUUGUGGGAGGUAACCACCGCCCCCCCCCAUCACCCUGAGCUCCAAAGCUUGUCUUGCUGCCCCGUGCAGACUGCAGCCCAGUUGACUGUGACUUUGACUUGGCCAAGAACGAAAUAGGAACAUGUUCUCCCCAUCCCCGACCCCUGGCGAUGACCAACCUAAUGUAGUCAGUCACGGCACAAACUUGGUCACUGGUGUCUUUGGUGUCAUUGGGGUGUCAUCUGCCGCCCAGCAAUGCCACUUGAGUACAAUACUCAAUAACAGUGACUUCUGUCCAGACCAUGAUUUGAGAUCCAACCCCUCAUACAUCUGAGUUUUACUUUUUAGAAUUAAAAAAUUGAUUUUUUUUUCAAAUGGGAUAAAUCUUCAAUCCAUGACUAUUUUUUUCUUAACUUUGGAUCGAAACUCGCUAGAUACUGGCCUGCGUCCUUUUGUGUGGUUUCUUUUUCUUUUAUUUUUUUUUAAAUGCUGAUGUCUUGUUCCAAGAGCUGUCCUCCAAAGUCCCCCCUAAGGCUGCACUGGCAACACAUUGUUAUGCCAUUAAGGUUUUAUUUAACUUUAUUUAAGGAUGAUUGUGCCUGUUCAAUACAAAUGUACUGCUGCUUCCCACCUGCGAGAUGCACGAUGUAUGUUACUAGGGUGGGCCAGUGUCCUUUCUUAAAUUCCUGUCGUAAAUAUCAUGGUUUCUGCCUCUUGAUUGUCACCAGUUCCUGGAAGAAGGGGAGAAAUGUGUGUUUCUGUGUGGGGAUAUUUCUGAUAUGCUGCUACAGUUGUGACACUGGAGCUACAGAAAAUAAAGCCUUGAUCUUUGAA